CUGGCUGCCCCUGUAAACAGCAGGCAUCUGGUUACCACAGGGCAGGUAGGUUGCAACAAGGCAAGCUUCCCCCACAUUGUCCUGCCCAUAUGCCCAACCCUGAUCCGGCAAGGCCACCUCUACCAUGCAGAACGGAAUAGCAUUUACAUAUCCUGGUCAGCUCUUGGCCUCU
rnacentral:sRNA from 1 species